AUACGGAAGGUCCGGGCGUUAUCCGGAUUUAUUGGGUUUAAAGGGAGCGCAGGCGGAGAUGCAAGCGUGACGUCAAAUUUCGGGGCUCAACCCCGUCUCGCGUCGCGAACUGCGUCCCUUGGUUGCGGGAAGGGGAGGCGGAACUCGUGGUGUAGCGGUGAAAUGCAUAGAUAUCACGAAGAACUCCGAUCGCGAAGGCAGCCUUCCGGCCCGUCAACGACGCUCAUGCUCGAAGGUGCGGGUAUCAAACAGGAUUAGAUACCCUGGUAGUCCGCACAGUAAACGAUGGACACCCGCGGUUUGGCCUAUAUGGCUGAGCCGCCAAGCGAAAGCGUUAAGUGUCCCGCCUGGGGAGUACGCCGGCAACGGUGAAACUCAAAGGAAUUGGCGGGG
rnacentral:rRNA from 1 species